UGAACGCUGGCGGUAGGCCUAACACAUGCAAGUCGAACGGCAGCACAGUAAGAGCUUGCUCUUAUGGGUGGCGAGUGGCGGACGGGUGAGGAAUACAUCGGAAUCUACCUUUUCGUGGGGGAUAACGUAGGGAAACUUACGCUAAUACCGCAUACGACCUUCGGUGAAAGCGAGGGACCGUUCGGGCCGUUGCGCGGAGUAGAUGAGCCGAUGUCGGAUUAGCUAGUUGGCGGGUAAAGGCCCACCAAGGCGACGAUCCGUAGCUGGUCUGAGAGGAUGAUCAGCCACACUGGAACUGAGACACGGUCCAGACUCCUACGGGAGGCAGCAGUGGGGAAUAUUGGACAAUGGGCGCAAGCCUGAUCCAGCCAUACCGCGUGGGUGAAGAAGG
rnacentral:rRNA from 1 species